rnacentral:rRNA from 1 species
CAGUAGCCGCGGGAAUACAGAGGGUGCGAGCGUUAAUCGGAUUUACUGGGCGUAAAGCGUGCGUAGGCGGUUUGUUAAGUUGGAUGUGAAAGCCCCGGGCUCAACCUGGGAACUGCAUCCAAAACUGGCAAGCUAGAGUACGGUAGAGGGUGGUGGAAUUUCCUGUGUAGCGGUGAAAUGCGUAGAUAUAGGAAGGAACACCAGUGGCGAAGGCGACCACCUGGACUGAUACUGACACUGAGGUGCGAAAGCGUGGGGAGCAAACAGGAUUAGAUACCCCCGUAGUCCCUGUCUCUUAUAC